GACGAACGCUGGCGGCGUGCUUAACACAUGCAAGUCGAACGGAAAGGCCCUGCUUGCAGGGUACUCGAGUGGCGAACGGGUGAGUAACACGUGGGUGAUCUGCCCUGCACUUCGGGAUAAGCCUGGGAAACUGGGUCUAAUACCGGAUAGGAGCCAUUUUUAGUGUGAUGGUUGGAAAGUUUUUUCGGUGUAGGAUGAGCUCGCGGCCUAUCAGCUUGUUGGUGGGGUAAUGGUCUACCAAGGCGGCGACGGGUAGCCGGCCUGAGAGGGUGGACGGCCACAUUGGGACUGAGAUACGGCCCAGACUCCUACGGGAGGCAGCAGUGGGGAAUAUUGCACAAUGGGCGCAAGCCUGAUGCAGCGACGCCGCGUGGGGGAGGACGGCCUUCGGGUUGUAAACUCCUUUCGCUAGGGACGAAGCUUUUUGUGACGGUACCUAGAUAAGAAGCACCGGCUAACUACGUG
rnacentral:rRNA from 1 species